GACGAACGCUGGCGGCGUGCUUAACACAUGCAAGUCGAACGAGAAAGCCCUUCGGGGUAAGUACAGUGGCGAACGGGUGAGUAACACGUGGGCAACCUGCCCCAGAGAGCGGGACAACCCGGGGAAACCCGGGCUAAUACCGCAUGAUGCGUCUCCACUUAAGUGGAGCCGCCAAAUGGUAGCUUCGGCCUCCGCUCUGGGCUGGGCCCGCGCCGGAUUAGCUAGUUGGUUGGGGUAACGGCCCACCAAGGCGACGAUCCGUAGCGGCACUGAGAGGACGAUCAGCCACACUGGGACUGAGACACGGCCCAGACUCCUACGGGAGGCAGCAGUGGGGAAUCUUGCGCAAUGGGCGAAAGCCUGACGCAGCAACGCCGCGUGGGGGAAGAAGGCCUUCGGGUUGUAAACCUCUUUCAGUAGGGACGAAGCUUCCGAGGUUAAUAGCCUACGGGGUGACGGUACCUACAGAAGAAGCCCCGGCUAACUACGUGCCAGCCGCCGCCGUAA
rnacentral:rRNA from 1 species